rnacentral:lncRNA from 1 species
CCGCUAUCGCUACCCCGCCACCAUGGCCACACCGCGCUCGCAUAGCCCCGCCCACCGGAGGUUCUCCUCUCCGGGUCGCCCCAGAUCCGGCCGCCUCCACCGUCAGUAGCAUGCUAGUGCGCCAACGUGCCAUGGAUACCCCACCCGAACCUCCAUCUCGGCCCGAUCCACUCGCCCGUGCACCUACCCAUCGGAUCAGCACCGCGUCGCCCAUCCUCAACCUCUGUCGCCCCUCGGCUUCGUCGAAGUCCGAGCGUCGUCAUCUGCUGCUCGAUCAUGCGCGAGUAGUUCUAGAUCCGCCAGCAUAGACCGCACCUACGCCUAGUGGGUUGUUGCACAACCUCGGCAUAGCUCCUAGCCGCCAGCCUACCCCGCACGUGGGAUACACCUAACUCAGCUCGCCCAGCG